rnacentral:rRNA from 1 species
UACGGAGGGUGCAAGCGUUAUCCGGAUUCACUGGGUUUAAAGGGUGCGUAGGCGGGUUGUUAAGUCAGUGGUGAAAUCUCAGAGCUUAACUCUGAAACUGCCAUUGAUACUAAUGAUCUUGAAUACUGUGGAGGUAAGCGGAAUAUGUCAUGUAGCGGUGAAAUGCUUAGAUAUGACAUAGAACACCCAUUGCGAAGGCAGCUUACUACGCAUAUAUUGACGCUGAUGCACGAAAGCGUGGGGAUCAAACAGG